GACGAACGCUGGCGGCGUGCUUACACAUGCAAGUCUACGAGAAAGGGGUAGCAAUAUCCUGAGUAAAGUGGCGCACGGGUGAGUAAUAUGUAAGUAAUCUGCCUAUAGAAUUGGAAUAACGUCGAGAAAUCGGCGCUAAUACCGAAUAAUGCAGCGGCACCGCAUGGUGAUGUUGUUAAAGUUGCAGCAAUGUAAUGUCUAUAGAUGAGCUUGCAUCUGAUUAGCUAGUUGGUAGGGUAAUGGCCUACCAAGGCAACGAUCAGUAGCUGGUCUGAGAGGAUGAUCAGCCACACUGGAACUGAGACACGGUCCAGACUCCUACGGGAGGCAGCAGUGAGGAAUAUUGGGCAAUGCCCGCAAGGGUGACCCAGCAACGCCGCGUGGAGGAUGAAUGCCGUAAGGUUGUAAACUCCUGUGAGAAGGGAUGAAAAUCCAUGAUUCGUAAGGGUCAUGGUUUGACCGUACCUUCAGAGGAAACCCCGGCUAACUACGUGCCAGCAGCCGCGGUAAUACGUAGGGGGUUAGCGUUGUCCGGAUUUACUGGGUGUAAAGGGCGCGUAGGCGGGUCCGUAAGUCAGAGGUGAAAUCCUA
rnacentral:rRNA from 1 species